rnacentral:rRNA from 1 species
CGAACGCUGGCGGCGUGCUUAACACAUGCAAGUCGAACGCGAACGGGACUUCGGUCCCUAGUAGAGUGGCGCACGGGUGAGUAACGCGUAGAUAACCUAUCUUCCUGUCUGGAAUAAUACGCCGAAAGGAGUACGUAAUACCGGAUACUCUUGCUUUUCAUAAGUAUAGCAAGCAAAGGUGGCCUCUGUAUAUGCUACUGCAGGGAGAGGGGUCUGCGUACCAUUAGCUAGUAGGUGGGGUAAGGGCCUACCUAGGCUACGAUGGUUAGCGGGUCUGAGAGGAUGAUCCGCCACACUGGCACUGGAACACGGGCCAGACUCCUACGGGAGGCAGCAGUGAGGAAUAUUGCGCAAUGGGGGCAACCCUGACGCAGCGACGCCGCGUGAGUGAGGAAGGCCUUCGGGUCGUAAAGCUCUGUCAAGAGGAAAGAAGUGCAUAGCGGUUAAUACCCGUUAUGUUUGACGGUACCUCUAAAGGAAGCACCGGCUAACUCCGUGCCAGCAGCGGC